AGUAAAAGUCGUAACAAGGUUUCCGUAGGUGAACCUGCGGAAGGAUCAUUAACGAGUUUUGAAAGGGGUUGUAGCUGGCUUCAAACGAGGCAUGUGCACACCCUGCUCAUCCACCCUCAACCUCUGUGCACUUACUGUAGGUCGGUUGAUGGCUCAGUUGUGGCAACACUCUGGGUUUGAAGCCUUCCUAUGUUUUACUACAAACGCUUUAGUUAUAGAAUGUUACUCUGCGUAUAACGCAUCUAUAUACAACUUUCAGCAACGGAUCUCUUGGCUCUCGCAUCGAUGAAGAACGCAGCGAAAUGCGAUAAGUAAUGUGAAUUGCAGAAUUCAGUGAAUCAUCGAAUCUUUGAACGCACCUUGCGCUCCUUGGUAUUCCGAGGAGCACAUCCGUUUGAGUGUCAUGGUAUUCUCAACCUCAAUAACUUUUGUUACUGAGGCUUGGACUUGGAGGUCGUGCUGGCUCUCGUUAGUCAGCUCCUCUUAAAUGCAUUAGCGUGAACGUUACGGAUCGCUAUCAGUGUGAUAAUUAUCUGCGCUGUUAGUGUUGAAGCAUCAUUAGUGUCGCGCUUCUAACCGUCCUUCACGGGACAAUUUACUUUGACAUCUGACCUCAAAUCAGGCGGGACUACCCGCUGAACUUAAGCAUAUCAAUAAGCGGAGGA
rnacentral:rRNA from 1 species